rnacentral:rRNA from 1 species
AUGGCGCAGGCGGAGGCGGACGUACCCGCAGCCUCGCUCUUCGGUGCGGACCGCCGCCUCUGCUCAGCCGACGUGCUCUCGCCGCCCGAGGUUCGGGCAAGGAUCGAGGUGGCGGUGCUCAAUUUCCUCGCCGCGCUCUCGUCUCCCUCUUCUCCGGCCAUCUCUGUCCUCCCCCUGAUCUCACGCAAGUCCACCAAUUGCAGCCUGCGCAGCGGCUUGCUGAGCGAUGUUUCAUCGGUUUAUCUGUCCUACGCCUUCUGCAAGAGGUCACUAAUGAGAGAAAAUGAUGCCAAGGCAUUCGUCAGAGUAUGGAAAGUCAUGGAGAUGUGCUACAAGAUCUUGGGAGACGGGAAGCUUGUCACCCAGCGGGAGUUGUUCUACAAACUACUAUCGGACUCACCCAAGUACUUCAGCUGUCAGCGCCAUGUCAAUCAAACCAUCCAAGAUGUUGUUUCAUUGCUCCGUUGCACAAGGCAGAGUUUAGGAAUCAUGGCAUCAAGUAGAGGGGCUCUGAUUGGACGACUUAUGUUGCAUGAAGCGGAGGAAGAACACAUUGAUUGUUCCAUUCUUGGACCUUCUGGGCAUGCCAUUACUGGGGAUCUGAACCAAUUGAGCAGAUUAAAUUUGUCUUCAGAUGCCCGUUAUCUCAUUCUAGUGGAGAAGGAUGCCAUAUUUCAGAGGCUGGCUGAAGACCGCUUAUAUAACCAGCUUCCAUGUAUCCUCAUCACUGCAAAAGGAUAUCCUGAUAUCGCCACAAGGUUUAUCUUGCAUCGACUGAGCCAGACUUUUCCAAAUAUGCCAAUAUUUGCAUUAGUGGACUGGAACCCUGCAGGGCUCUCUAUACUGUGUACUUACAAAUAUGGAAGCAUAUCAAUGGGCUUGGAAUCAUACAGAUACGCUUGCAAUGUAAAAUGGCUUGGACUAAGAGGAGAUGAUCUGCAACUUAUCUCUCAGAGUGCAUUCCAAGAGUUGAAACCUCGUGAUUUGCAGAUCGCCAAAAGCUUGCUGUCAUCUAAGUUUCUGCAGGACAUGCACAGGGCGGAGUUGACUCGGAUGGUCGAGACGGGAACGCGCGCUGAGAUCGAAGCUCUCUACUGCCAUGGAUUUGAUUUCCUGGGGAAGUUCAUCGCCAGGAAGAUUGUGCAGGGUGACUACAUUUGA